ensembl:snRNA U6 U6 spliceosomal RNA
GUGCUCACUUUGGCAGCACGUAUAUUAAAAUUAGAACAAUACAGAAAAGAUUAGUAUGGCCCCUGCACAAGGACGACACUCAAUUUGUGAAAUGUUUCACAUUUUU